CCAUCUCAAAAAAUAAAAAAACAGGCCAGGCACGGUGACUAAUUGUAUUGUUAAUUUUCACUGUUUUUUUUUCCCCAAAAUGUUUUUGAUUUAUGGUUUGUUGACUCCAUGAAUGUGGAACCUGCAGAUACCAAGGGCCAACUGUUUAUCCUUCCUCUUCUAAACAGCCAUUUUUGUGGGGUUUGGGGAUUGUCUGAGAACCAGAUGGGCAUUGGAGGGCAAAGAUGAGAAAAGGCUACCUUACAUUAUGCAAGAGGUAAAUGGCCAGAAGUAACAGCAGAGGCCUCCAAAAACAAACUCAUCUCUGUUUUUGGUGAGCAAAUCCUGUCUGUGUUAGAUACUAUGUGAAGCUGGCUGCC
rnacentral:lncRNA from 10 species